rnacentral:lncRNA from 1 species
GUUUUUAUGUGUUUAAAACCGUUCACAUUUAAUUUGCAGGUAUGGAUUUGAGUAACAACAUUCCUUCAUUCUUAAAGUUGAUUGAGGACGAUGAUCCUAUUUUUUUGGUCUUUUGCUUUCUUUAAAGUAUGGUUUAAAUCAAGAUGAUAGAACCUACCAUAAAGAUAAAAAAAAUAUAAAUACCUCCUCGCGUUUGUGAUGCGUGCGUGUUCACCUCUGCUCUCCGUCUCUUACCUCGGUUCCAAGGACCCUAUUUCAGUAUGCAGUUUUCUGAUCUGAUCGGAGGUGUAAUUACCGACCAGAUCGAGUGUCCAUGUAUGGGAAUGGAUCAUAACAUGUUGAGAGUUCGUCUUUGUGAAGCAUGAUUUGAUGAAGAAUCAAUUAAACGAAGGGAUAGUGGUUCAUUAAUCGCUCAUAUUGCUAAACUUGAAGCUUAGGUUGUUAUUCUUUUCCACGUUGUUGACAACUGUAUGGUUUUGUUAAUUGGAUUCAGUUGUUAGGACUCAUGAUCAUUUUUUUUACUUGCUAAAGAUUUUAUUUUUAAGCAACAUACUGACUAAGUAGCUCCUAAAAAUGUUGACUGGAGGUGGAGAUGGUCAAAUGAAUGAUUUAGUUUGCUGCUAUUAUCAUUGGAACCGCGAUUGGUUUAAACGUGGUAAGUGGAGUUAGUUGAGCCAGUCCUCAGAGUGUUGUCAUAACCGAAAGGUAACCUCAAACAUAUUACUUCUUUCGUUGUGAAGAUCGUGUGAUUUUGGAAUAAGAAGUCUGGGCUGAGAUUCGUUUCGUUUGAGUCACUCGACUGUGGCUUCUUCUGAGCUGAUGUGGGUGGGGCAAGGUUCGGUGUCUUGGUUGUAACUCCGUCAUUCCUCCGCGUCAAGAGGUAGUCGUUUUUUACGCGGUCACGGAUUUGCAAAUGAGUGGGAUUUGCCAUCUCCGGCGUUAGUUGCAGAUCCGUCACAUACGUACAUGCACCGCGUUUCUCCCUGUUAUUUUGAUCUUAAUCGCCGCCUCCCUGUUAUUUUGCUCUUAAUCGCAAAG